CUGGCAUGGGACUUUGAUUUUAUUGUGAUUGCACAGAAAGCUAACCUCUGCUUCUGUGGAUGGAUCGGUUUCCCUAGCUGCACACACUUCUCCUGGAAUGGCUCUAACUCCCCAGUAUCUGCUUCCAACAAACUUCUCUCCAGGCUAAACAGACACUUGCUACUCACACCACAGUGCAGGGGGAGUGAUGCUGAAAAAAGAAGAUGUGGUGUAGCUGACAUCUUGGCUUGUCUUGUGAUCUGAGUAACGUCGGAACGAUUCCAUCAAUGCUGUCAGGAACAGGUUCCAGAGCCCUCCAGGUAUCUGUCAGACACCACAAGCAAUCUGGGGAAGGAAUGCUGCAUGGCAGAGACAUCUGCUGGGUGCUGCUUGCACUCCUCCCACGCCUCCUGGUUCAGCUCUCUGGGAGUGUGGAUCCUUGGAGAAGCCCUGGGAGAAGCUGCCUCCAGCUGGGGAGACGCAUUUUAGGUUUCACCUGCAUUCUCCUUCCUUCUCUAAGUACCAGGUGGACAAGAAGCAAAUCUCCCCUCACCAUUAAUAAGAGAACUUGUAGCCAGUGAACUGUGAUUUGUUUGCUGCAAUGAAUAUAUUUAUUGCAAAGUUUUGAGAACCGGUGUGCUUGAUGUGUGGAAAGCUUCUGCCUUGCACACUGAACAGAAUGAACAGUGUCUCCUUUCCGAACCUGGCUCUUGGCCGUGUGAAAGACACCACGGCCAGGCUCUCUCGAAACCCUGCCAGAGAGGGUUUCGAUACUUUCUAGCUGAGAACCGAGG
rnacentral:lncRNA from 1 species